UGACAACAGAGGUGGCGCUUGUUCUGAGAAAUACCGGCGAACUUGAUCUGGAUAAUACCAGCGAAAGGAUCUGCAUCUGCUACAUU
rnacentral:ncRNA from 1 species